UACAGAGGUCCCAACCGUUGUUCGGAUUCAUUGGGCGUAAAGGGUGCGUAGGCGGCGGGGUAAGUCAGGUGUGAAAUCUCGGGGCUCAACCCCGAAACUGCACUUGAUACUGCCUCGCUUGAGUACUGGAGAGGAGACUGGAAUUUACGGUGUAGCAGUGAAAUGCGUAGAUAUCGUAAGGAAGACCAGUGGCGAAGGCGAGUCUCUGGACAGUUACUGACGCUGAGGCACGAAGGCCAGGGGAGCAAACGGG
rnacentral:rRNA from 1 species